AUGAAAAGGGCCAAUACUAGAAAAGCUGGUUGCCCCGAACAUCGGAGGGCCCAUAGGCCCGCAGAGGCAAGACAGUGGUCUCAGGCAUCACCGCCCGCCUACUCCGAGUCCUGGCAGCUGAACCCUCCUGGCCCCCAUCCACUAGGGGAGCCGAGGGUUCUGCCGGAGCUGCCACCCCUGGUACCGCUGGAGCGGUGGCCCCUGGUGCCACCAUUUGUGGGGAGCACUGGAGGGCUCUCUGAGAACGACCUGAACGUCAUUAAAGUAGAGUAAGGUUUGGUCUUCCUCAUCAACCUCUUCGACUCUCCAAGCCAUGUGAACUUCUCUUCAGAGGUGACAGCUGCCUUGCAUGGUGGUGGUGGACUGUGUAUCUGGUGUGUGUGUAGAGACAGAAACAGUGCUGUGACAGGCCAUCACUAAUCACAUCAAGCCUGUGCUGAUGAUGAAUAAGACGGACCGGAUCCUGCUUGAGCUGCAGCUGGAGCACGAGGAGCUCUACCGGACCUUCCAGCACAUUAUGGAGAAUGUCAAUGUCAUCAUCUCUAACUAUGGUGAGGGCGAGAGUGGGCCCACCAGCAAUAUCAUGAUUAACCCUGUCCUGGGCACCAUGGACUUUGGUUCCGGCCUGCAUGGCUGGGCCUUCACUCUGAGGCAGUUUGCAGAGAUGUACAUGGGCAAGCUUGCAGCCAAGGGUGAUUGAGGAUUUGAGGGUGUGCCCUGUGGAAACACUGUGGGGUUGGUUGGAAUGAACCAGAUCCUUGUGAAGACUGGGACCAUCACCACCUUUGAGCAUGCUCACAAUAUGCGAGUGAUGAAGUUCAGCAUCAGCCCUGUCGUCAGGUGGCAGUGGAGGCCAAGAACCUAGCUGACUUGCCUAAGCUGGUGGAGGUGCUGAAGCGGCUAGCUAAGUCUGACCCUAUGGUGCAGUGCAUCAUUGAGGAGUCUGGAGAACACAUCCUUGCUGGCACCGGUGAGUUGCACCUGGAGAUCUGCCUCAAGGACCUGGAGGAGGACCAUGCCUGAUGGGGACAUCAAAAAAUCUGACCCUGUCCUGUCAUAUUGGGAGACAGUCCAACAUGCUGUGUCUGUCCAAGUCCCCUAACAAGCACAACCGGCUGUACAUGAAGGCCAGGCUCUUCCCUGGCCUGGCAGAGGACAUUGAUAAGGGUGAGGUGUCUGCUUGUCAGGAGCUCAAGGCACGUGCCCGCUACCUGGCCGAAAAGUAUGAAUAGGAUGUUGCAGAAGCCCACAAGAUCUGGUGCUUCGGACCUGAUGGCACUGGCCCCAACAUUCUCACUGACACCACGAAGGGUGUGCAGUACCUGAAUGAGAUCAAGGACAGCGUGGUGGCCAGCUUCCAGUGGGCUACUAAGGAGGGCACUCUUUGUGAGGAACAACUCGUGGUGUGUGAUUUUAUGUUCAUGAUGUGACCCUGCAUGCUGAUGUCAUCAACCGAGGAGGUGGCCAGAUCAUUCCCACAGCACACCGCUGCCUUUAUGCCAGUGUGCUGACUGCAAGAGCCCCGCCUCAUGGAGCCUAUCUCUCUGGUUGAGAUCCAGUGUCCUGUACAAGUGGGUGGCAUGUACGGUGCCCCAAACAGGAAGCAUGGUCAUAUAUUUGAGGAAUCCCAGAUGGCCUGUACUCCCGUGUUCGUGGUCAAGGCAUACCUGCCUGUCAAUGUGUCCGUUGACUUCACCACCGGCCUUCGAUCCAACAGUGGUGGCCAGGCUUUCCGCAGUGUGUAUUUGACCACUGGCAGAUUCUACCUGGGGACCCCCUUGACAACAGCAGCCUCCCCAGCCAAGUGGUAGCUGAGACUCGCAAGUGCAAAGGCCGGAAGGAGGACAUCCCAGCACUGGACAACUUCCUGUACAAACUGUAGGCAGCCUGGUACUGCCACACGCUGCACAGUGUCCGCCCAUUAGAAGACACCUUGAGACUGUCCCCACGGUGCCCCUCUGGAGGCUGCUGGGGCCACCCUGACAUCACUUAGC